GAUGAACGCUGGCGGCGUGCCUAAUACAUGCAAGUCGAGCGAAUGGAUUAAGAGCUUGCUCUUAUCAAGUUAGCGGCGGACGGGUGAGUAACACGUGGGUAACCUGCCCAUAAGACUGGGAUAACUCCGGGAAACCGGGGCUAAUACCGGAUAAUAUUUUGAACUGCAUGGUUCAAAAUUGAAAGGCGGCUUCGGCUGUCACUUAUGGAUGGACCCGCGUCGCAUUAGCUAGUUGGUGAGGUAACGGCUCACCAAGGCAACGAUGCGUAGCCGACCUGAGAGGGUGAUCGGCCACACUGGGACUGAGACACGGCCCAGACUCCUACGGGAGGCAGCAGUAGGGAAUCUUCCGCAAUGGAAAAAAGUCUGACGGAGCAACGCCGCGCGAGUGAUGAAGGCUUUCGGGUCGUAAAACUCUGUUGUUAGGGAAGAACAAGUGCUAGUUGAAUAAGCUGGCACCUUGACGGUACCUAACCAGAAAGCCACGGCUAACUACGUGCCAGCCGCCGCCGUAA
rnacentral:rRNA from 1 species